rnacentral:rRNA from 1 species
UACAGAGGGGGCAAGCGUUAUUCGGAAUUAUUGGGCGUAAAGGGCGCGUAGGCGGCAUGGCAAGUGGAAGGUGAAAUCCCUCGGCUUAACCGAGGAACUGCCCUCCAAACUGCUUGGCUUGAGACCGGGAGAGGUGAGUGGAAUUCCCAGUGUAGCGGUGAAAUGCGUAGAUAUUGGGAGGAACACCAGUGGCGAAGGCGGCUCACUGGACCGGUACUGACGCUGAUGCGCGAAAGCGUGGGGAGCAAACGGG